UACACACCGCCCGUCACACCAUGGGAGUCAGUUGCUCCAGAAAGGCCCCCCCCUGCGCUAACCCGCAAGGGGGCAGGUCUUUAAGGAGUGACUGGUAACUGGGGUG
rnacentral:rRNA from 1 species